rnacentral:rRNA from 1 species
AAAUUGAAGAGUUUGAUCAUGGCUCAGAUUGAACGCUGGCGGCAGGCCUAACACAUGCAAGUCGAGCGGAAACGAGUUAUCAAAGCCUUCGGGUGGCGAUAACGGCGUCGAGCGGCGGACGGGUGAGUAAUGCCUGGGAAAUUGCCCUGAUGUGGGGGAUAACCAUUGGAAACGAUGGCUAAUACCGCAUAAUAGCUUCGGCUCAAAGAGGGGGACCUUC